UAGUCUCAGUUCGGAUUGGAGUCUGCAACCCGACUCCAUGAAGCUGGAUUCGCUAGUAAUCGCGCAUCAGCCACGGCGCGGUGAAUACGUUCCCGGGCCUUGUACACACUGCCCGUCAAGCCAUGGAAGCCGGGAGUGCCUGAAGUGCGUGAGCGCAAGCAGCGCCCUAAGGUAAAACCGGUGACUGGGGCUAAGUCGUAACAAGGUAAC
rnacentral:rRNA from 1 species